GUCAUGAGAGGGAAUUGGGUGUUGUCAAGCAUAUCGACGAUGAGACCUCCUCGCAAAUGCUCGCCACGGCGUGUGAUUGUGGCGAUGUCGGCUCUGAUGAUGGGGGCCUGAAAGUACUACUUUUAAUGGGUUUGCAAUGUCGGCCGAGUCAAGGCACAGGGAAGACGUGGGCGGCGCAGGAUCUGACCGCCCGGUCUGUUUCUGCACCAUUUCCAGAAACUCUUCAUGUAGGAUUGUGUGAACUUUCGGAGCGGGCGUAUGGGCGCGCGGUUUCCCGAUUCUGCGGCUCUUGUUGGAUGUGUGUAGUCCAGCUAGUUUGUGCGUCGACGGGUUGUUGAUGUUUACACUCGUUUACGCUCCAUUAGCCUCCAUUCCCUCGAAAUGAAUGCUCGGAACUCUGGUGUGGGGGAAAACUAGGAAAAGCUGUUACUUAUUCAACUCAAGGAUUUGGAUUUCUUUCUAGACUGAGUUAUCCCCUGAAACCUUUCUGCAUUGUGCUUGUUUACCGUCGAAAUUGAAAG
rnacentral:lncRNA from 1 species